GUAGGGUGCAAGCGUUAAUCGGAAUUACUGGGCGUAAAGCGUGCGCAGGCGGUUUUGUAAGUCUGAUGUGAAAUCCCCGGGGCUCAACCUGGGAAUUGCAUUGGAGACUGCAAGGCUAGAAUCUGGCAGAGGGGGGUAGAAUUCCACGUGUAGCAGUGAAAUGCGUAGAUAUGUGGAGGAACACCGAUGGCGAAGGCAGCCCCCUGGGUCAAGAUUGACGCUCAUGCACGAAAGCGUGGGGAGCAAACAGGAUUAGAUACCCUGGUAGUCCACGCCCUAAACGAUGUCUACUAGUUGUCGGGUCUUAAUUGACUUGGUAACGCAGCUAACGCGUGAAGUAGACCGCCUGGGGAGUACGGUCGCAAGAUUA
rnacentral:rRNA from 1 species